ACUCCUUUUCUUCAGUAUAACAAGACACUGGGUGAGGAAAACGGAUCGGGGGGGUGUCUGCACAUGUACUUAAAGUUGCAUCAGAUGAAGUGAGGCAGGGAAUAACAGUGAGGUCAGUUGCCAAAGACUUCUCCAUCUGCCAUGUGACACUGAGCAGAUUCUGCAAUAAACUGCUAUCACAGCAGUGAAAAAGUCUUCGAUGCACAGCAAGAGGAAGUGUUGACUGGUUACUUGAUUGAGGCAGCAGACUUGUACUAUGAACUCAAUCCACAUGAGGUCAGGAAGUUUGCAUAUCAAGUUGCGGUGGAGUACAACAUCAAACAUCCCCAGUCAUGGGAUGAGAACAGCAUGGCAGGUCCUGAUUGGUUCUCAGGCUUUAUGAAAAGGCGUCAUAACUUGUCCAUGAGAAGUGCGCAGGCAACUAGCUUGGCCCGAGCUACAGGCUUUAACCGUGCAAAUGUGGAGGCAUUUUUCAUGAAGCUUGAGGAUGUUAUUGAGAGGUAUAGCUUUGAUGGAUGCGACAUAUGGAAUAUGGAUGAGACUGGUGUUAAUAAAGGCUAAAUGGUAAUAGCCA